GAAGAUUUUCUGGAGAUUUUUCAAAGAAGGUAGUUGAAGAUGAAGGUUGGAGAAGAGCAAGGUUACUGAAUUGGAGAAGAUGGAUGGAGGACUUGAAUCGAUGAAGGUUCUUGGAGAAGGUUGAAGAAUGUUCAGAAUCGAUCGAGGGAGAAUAAAAUGCGGGGUUGUAUUUGCGAAGGACCGGUUUUCUUCUACAUGAUUAUGCGGGUGGAUGUUGUAGAUGAACCACGAGAACCGGUUGGGUUUAUUUGUUAGCUACAAGUUACUACUGAGUUUUCUGAUGCCAAAGUUAGUGAGUUCUCUUACCAAUUCCCGCUUGAACCUCUUUCUUUUUCUCUGAAUGGACCCCUUUUUCUUUUGAAUCGGUUUAUUUGCGGUUUUUAUGAUGCAGGGCUGAACCAAACUUGAUUUAGAGGAGGUUCUGGAUGUUAACGUGCAGCUCCCAGGGUGUAAUGGUUUUGUAAUAGGAUCCUCUUGUAAAGAUUUUUUUUGUAUAUUUAUGAUGUAAUGGGCUUUGGACUUUAGGAAUGGACAUCUUGGAGAAUUAUAUUUGUGAUAUUUUGAUUUUGAAUUUUGUAAAAAUGUGCUUGUAUGUUGAAAUUGAACGUGAAAUGAACAAACUUCCGGGAA